GGUUAAUUUAUAACUAAAAGAUAAAUGAAAUUUAACUGUUAGGGAAAUAUGAGAAAGAUAAAAGCAUACUUUACCUUAUGGUUAGUGAAAUUUUGCUAUUUGAGGUAAAAAAUCUUGGGACUGUAAUUUACUAUUGUUUUGUUUUAAUUACAAGGAUGUCUGAAUUUUCAUAAAACCAGUAGUAGAAAAUGGAAUGUUUUACAAUCUGGGAAAUGUUACUGCUGGAUGGCUGUGCCUGGGAAGUUAGGAGGGUGAUCUUGGUUUGGCCGAAGGAACCUCUACAAGUGAUUUGGAACCAGUGAAGCAGAGCCUUCUGAGCUGUUCCUGAGGAUGAAUCCUGCUCCAGAAUGUUCAACAGAAGGGAUCAGAUGACUGAGACAUCUGGGAUGCAAAACAUAUUGACUAAAUGGAUCUUGGGAGAUGAUAUUAGGAUAGAAGAACCUCUGAUGACCUCUGACAAAGGUGUAAUUACUCACGUUUAUAAGGAAUUAAAUCAAUUGUGCAAAAAACACCCAAGCCAUUCCCUAACUGAUAAAAGGGCAAGGGACAUGAAUAGGCAAUUUUAAGAUAAAGAAAUCAAAACUAUCAAUAAACACAAAAAAGUGCCAUAAAUCUCUCAUAACUAGAGAAAUACAAAUCAAAACCACUCUGAGGUAUCACUUCACAUCUAGCAUGUUGGCUAAUAUGACAGCAAAGGAAAGCAAUGAAUGUUGGCAGGGAUGUGGCAAAAUUGGGACAUUAAUGCAUUGCUGGUGGAAUUGUGAACUGAUCCAACCAUUCUGGAAAGCAAUUUGGAAUUAUGCCAAAAGGGCUUUGAAAGACUACUUGCCAUUUGAUCCCUGCUAGGUUUGUACGCUAAAAAGAUCAUAAGAAUAAAGACUUGUACAAAAAUA